AAAAAUAAUAAAAAUAAAAAAAUAAAAAAAUAAAUCUCUGUUGAGGCUGAGAACCACCUUGAAAACCAGGUUGAGAACUAAAGCAUGGAAGCGUUUCCAUGUGUGUUUUGUUUUUGUUUUUGAGACGAGUCUCGCUCUGUCGCCCAGCCUGGAGUGCAGUGGUGAGAUCUCGGCUCACUGCAACCUUCGCCUCCCGGGUUC
rnacentral:lncRNA from 10 species